GAUACUGUUUUAACUUUUGAAAGCAUCAACUUGUCAAAGAGCAUACAGAAGUAAGCAGCAAAGUUACAGAGAUUACUUGCUUUAGGUUAGGAGGAGAACUCAGCAAUUACAGGUUGUAAUUGAGAGAUGGAAAACAGAGGACUAAAUCUUAUUAACAUCCAGCACUGCUCUACUGGCAUGAUUAUCCAACUUAUAGUUCGAAAUUGAAGCCGGCCCUGCUAAGGGUACAAUUACAAUAGCUAGCCCUCAAAUCCAAGCAAAUUGGAGUCGGCAAUAUGAGUUCUCACUGUCCAUUUUGCUCCAUUUAUGCUAGUCUCGAUCCAAUAUUAUAAAAAACUAGUUGUCCAAGCUUGGUGGACAAAGUUACAUGGUGCCUGUUGAUGGUGUGAGGUAGCAAGUAUCCCGUGGAAUUAGGGUUGUGGUCAAUUAGGAUAAUCUUAAUUCGAGAAUCCGAACUGAUUUAUGCUAUUCUGAUAGUCAGAAUUUCGGUUAUAUGGUUCAGACAGGGGAACAUGAUUAAAAUUUUUGGAUAUACGUGCAGGUAUGGUUUGGCAAAAUUUUAAA